rnacentral:rRNA from 1 species
AGGAUAAUUUAAUACCAAUAAUUUUUAUGAGCCCCACUUUCGUAUCAAGCAAUUCUAUAUAGUUAUAGAAAUUUUUAUGUUAAAACUAGUAACAAGAAGAAAACCUUCUCCUAAUGCAAGCGUAAAUCAGGAAGGAUAUACCACUGAUAAUUAACAUCCCUGAACCCACAGUAGCAACCACACAAGAAAACUCUACCACAUUCUAUGUUAACCUAACACAAGAGCAUUACAGGAAAGAUUAAAAGAGAAAGAAGGAACUCGGCAAACUUUAACCCCGCCUGUUUACCAAAAACAUCGCCUCUUGACCAAUUAUAAGAGGUCCAGCCUGCCCAGUGACUCUGUUCAACGGCCGCGGUAUCCUAACCGUGCGAAGGUAGCGUAAUCACUUGUUCUUUAAAUGAGGACUAGUAUGAAUGGCACCACGAAGGUUAUACUGUCUCCUUUCUUUAAUCAGUGAAACUAAUCUCCCCGUGAAGAAGCGGGGAUAAAUAUAUAAGACGAGAAGACCCUAUGGAGCUUUAAACAAGUAACAACUGCCUUAUUAAUCUCUUAAUCUCAGGAGAUUUACCCCUUAUUCAGGCAUUUUGAUUACAAGUUUUAGGUUGGGGUGACCGCGGAGCAUAAAAUAACCUCCACAGUGAACGGGACUCAUUCCCUAAACCAAGGGCUACAACCCUAAGCAUCAAUAAAUUGACACCUAUUGACCCAAUAUUUUGAUCAAUGAACCAAGUUACCCUAGGGAUAACAGCGCAAUCCACUUCAAGAGCCCCUAUCGACAAGUGGGUUUACGGCCUCGAUGUUGGAUCAGGGU